rnacentral:rRNA from 1 species
GACGAACGCUGGCGGCGUGCUUAACACAUGCAAGUCGAACGAGAAUCUGAUGAAGGAGUUUUCGGACAACGGAUUCAGAGGACAGUGGCGGACGGGUGAGUAACGCGUGAGGAACCUGCCUUUCAGAGGGGGACAACAGUUGGAAACGACUGCUAAUACCGCAUAACACAUCGGAGUCGCAUGGCUCUGAUGUCAAAGAUUUAUCGCUGAAAGAUGGCCUCGCGUCUGAUUAGCUAGUUGGUGAGGUAACGGCCCACCAAGGCGACGAUCAGUAGCCGGACUGAGAGGUUGACCGGCCACAUUGGGACUGAGAUACGGCCCAGACUCCUACGGGAGGCAGCAGUGGGGAAUAUUGGGCAAUGGGCGCAAGCCUGACCCAGCAACGCCGCGUGAAGGAAGAAGGCUUUCGGGUUGUAAACUCUUUUAGCAGGGAUGAAGGACGUGACGGUACCUGCAGAAAAGCAACGGCUAACUACGUG